rnacentral:tRNA from 1 species
GGAGACGUGGCAGAGUGGUUGAAUGCGCACGCUUGGAAAGCGUGUAUACUCGCAAGGGUAUCGGAGGUUCGAAUCCUCUCGUCUCCGCCA